GACGAACGCUGGCGGCGUGCUUAACACAUGCAAGUCGAACGGAAAGGCCCGGCGUUUGCGGGUUGCUCGAUAGCGGAAGGGGGGAGAAACACGCGUGUAACCCGCCCCUGUCUUAGGGGUAACUUCUGGAAACUGGGGAUAUUACCGGAUAGGAUCUCUUGCUGCGCGGGGGGGGUUGGAAAGUUUCGGCGGUGCGGGCUAGACUCGCGGGUUACGAGCUUGUUUGGGAGGUAGUUGCGUACAAGGGCUUUGACGGGUAGCCGGCCUGGGAGCGUGACCGGCCACCUUGGGCCUGCGAUACGGCCCAGACGCCUACGGGCGGCAGCAGUGGGGAGUAUUGCGGAGUGGGCGGACGCCAGAUGCGGCGGCGCCGCGAGCGGGAUGACGGCCUUCGGGUUGUAAACCGAUUUCGACUGUGACGAAGAGUGAGUGACGGUAAUGGGUAAAGAAGCACCGGCUAACUACGUG
rnacentral:rRNA from 1 species